rnacentral:rRNA from 1 species
UACGUAGGGGGCAAGCGUUGUCCGGAAUCAUUGGGCGUAAAGAGCGUGUAGGCGGCUUGGCAAGUCUGGUGUGAAAUCUUGCGGCUCAACCGCAAGCGGUCACUGGAAACUGCCUCGCUAGAGUCCGGAAGAGGAGAGCGGAAUUCCUGGUGUAGCGGUGGAAUGCGCAGAUAUCAGGAGGAACACCUAUGGCGAAGGCAGCUCGCUGGGACGGUACUGACGCUGAGACGCGAAAGCGUGGGGAGCGAACAGG